GCAACCUGGCGGCGUGCCUAAUCAUGCAAGUCGAGCGGACAGAUGGGGAGCUUGCUCCCUGUAUGUUAGCGGCGGACGGGUGUAGUAACACGUGGGUAACCUGCCUGUAUGACUGUGGAUAACUCCGGGAAACCGGGGCUAAUACCGGAUGCUUGAUUGUGCCGCAUGGGGUCAAUUAUAAAAGGUGGCUUUUAGCUACCACUUACAGAUGGACCCGCGCCGCAUUAGCUAGUUGGUAAGGUAACGGCUCACCAAGGCAACGAUGCGUAGCCAACCUGAGAGGGUGAUCGGCCACACUGGAACUGAGACACGGCCCAAACUCCUACGGGAGGCAGCAGUAGGGAAUCUUCCGCAAUGGACGAAAGCCUGACGGAGCAACGCCGCGUGAGUGAUGAAGGUUUUCGGAUCGUAAAACUCUGUUGUUAGGGAAGAACAAAUGCGUUAGUAACUGGGCGGAUCUUGACGGGACCUAAUCAGAAAGCCACCGCUAACUACCUGCCAGCAGCCGCGGUAAUACCUAAGUGGCAAGCGUUAUCCGGAAUUAUUGGGCGUAAAGCGCGCGUAGGGGGUUUUUUAAGUCUG
rnacentral:rRNA from 1 species